GGGCCAUUAGCUCAGUUGGUCAGAGCUCCCGGCUCAUAACCGGUUGGUCCUGGGUUCGAGUCCCCGAUGGCCCA
rnacentral:tRNA from 1 species